rnacentral:rRNA from 1 species
GUCUACGGCCAUGCCACCGUGAACAAGUCUGAUCCUCUCUGAUCUCAGAAGCUAAGCAGGGUCAGGCCUGGUUAGUACUUGGAUGGGAGACCACCUAGGAAGACCAGAGGCUAUAGGCA